GACAAAAAUGUUCCUCUAUUUGUGACCAUUACAUUUAAUUACUAAGAAAAUUCAAAUAAAUGUUGGUUUAUUUUUUUAUUUUUUAUUUCUCUUUGUAUGUGUGUUUAAUAGUGUAUCCACCUUGUUUUGUUUUAAUAAUGGAUUAGCAAUUUGCGAUAUAAAACAUACUGUAUGUUAUUGCACAGAAAUUGGGCAAUGCAAUCCUCUCAUGUUUCUCACCAGACUGGACUGAACCAGGAAGUCUUACUUCACCUUCUGCCAACACUGAGGAAUGUAAUGUCUGUGGUUGAAAACUUGGUGGUGGCAAGUUUUGGGGGAACUCAGGGGCAUGGAAUCAGACAGUCCUGGAAAAAACACUCAACCAAUUUUAGAUUGAUGCCAGCUGGGUGCCUCAUCAGUAAGUCAUUUCCAUGAGGGACCAGGCCAUGGGAUAUCCCGUUUGGCAAAGCAGGUCACCCAGUGUCAUCGCAGAUUAACAAUCACUGCCUUCGUGCCAAAGAUAAAGCAAAUUUUAGAGCAUACCUGAACCACACCCAUGCAG